GCCCCAUUUUUUUUUAAUAAUAAAAUAAAUAAAUAGCCACUGAUUUAUUUAGUAUGAAGAAAAAGAUGGGCCAUAGGAUUUUCAUAUCACAGAGGGAACUUUGGUAGUGGAACCCCAAGACGUGACCUCACUUCCUUGGCAACAUCUCUGAAGAGAGCUUGUUACCCUUCUAAUGGGCGUCACAAUCGAGUACCAACCGUCUCCCGAGUUCACUUGGCCAGAGACGGUCCACAGCGAACCUGCUGAGCUGCUUCUCCACUUCGCGAGGCCGCAGCCUCAGGGCUCUAGGCAGAAAAACUACCUGUGAAAGACUGAGAAGACGGCUGACUCCAUCCAGGGGCCGCAGGCCACACUGCAGCAGCCACACGCCUGUCACAGACACCCCAGGGACGGUCUCCAGGGGAGUGACCACCCGUGACCUGUCAAAAUCAAGGCCUUUGUGAUAAAGAUCAAGACAUGUGGUGUUUGGAUAAUAAACCGCUUUUCACCACAGAUUAGGUAGAUGAAGAAGGAGACUCAUACACUGUGUCACCUCAGAAGCUGCAAGAGUCCUGAAGAGUUUUCUGAGAAGGGACCCAAAGGAACGAUUGGGUUGUCAUCCUCAAAGGGGCUUUGCUGAUGUUCAGGAGCAUCCCUCCUUUCAAAAUGUUGACUGGAACAUGAUGGACUGAAAGCAACUCGUGCCUCCCUUUAAACCAAAUAUGUCUGAGGAAUUCAGUUUGGACAACUUCGAUUCUCAGUUUACUGAUGAACCUGUCCAACUCAUCCCAGAUGAAAAUGACAUCAUGAGGAAAAUGGAAGGAUAUGAAUUUGCAGGUUUUGAGUAUAACAAUCAUCUUUCAAUGUAUGAAGAAGAAUGGGUCUGAUCCUCAUUUUUCAACUAUGCAUUCUGGUUAUUACUAUUUAAUGCUUGGGAAAAACUUGUUAUCAGCCUGGAUUCAAUGAACCACUUCAUAACUGUCUAGCAGCUAAUUGUAAUUUAUUUUUUGUAUUUGUAUUUAGAUGUAAUAUUUGAUUCUUACAGUCUAUAAUAGGGAAUAUUGAAUGGUUUUGUUGAUAAAUGGAAACAUAUUCCAUUUGUUGAGUGGUG
rnacentral:lncRNA from 1 species